rnacentral:lncRNA from 1 species
UUUACUCCUUAUUGUCUUGGACAAGCAGUCCUUUCUACCUUUCAAAUGGCUCUUAUCAUGAAGUGAGACUGCAUGAAGCCACAAUUAGAUCAGCUGGAAUCUCUGCUCCUUUUAUACUCUGAACUUAUUAAGCUGUCUUUAUUUGGCUUUAUUUGGUUUAUUUGGCUGAAUAGUGAAUGAGAAACUAUACCAGGAACUUCGGGAAUGUCUUCAAACCAAUUGGGUACCAUUGAGUAACUUUCUUCUUAGUCUUUUACCAGGAGACACACAUCCUGUAUCAGAAUUCCAUUCUUAUAUGGCAUUAUUAGGCAGGUUUAUUUUUAGCUAAAAUUCUAAUCUUUAGUGCUUUUUAAAUUUUAUUUAAGUGGAAUUACAAUUAAAAUACAAAUAUAUUCACACAUUUUACACGUGAAACAGGACUGGCUAAUUUUUCGCAUUUUGUUUGGCUGCAAAUACGACUGAUUUUUUUUUCUUGGGGAAGUGUUGAAAUAUCCUCUUCCCUCUCCAUC